GCUACGUAGCGACCGAGCGGGAUGAUCGCUCGGUCGCUACGUAGCGACCGAGCUUUGGCUCGAGCUCGGUCGCUACGUAGCGACCGAGCGGGACGAUCGCUCGGUCGCUGCAUAGCGACUUGUUUAGAGCUUUUCGUCGGACAUCUCGAUUCUUUCUUCCGUAAAGCUUUUUCGUAAGAAAGAGUCUAUUUCCGAAAAAUACUCUUCGGAGAAAUUCUUAUUUUCUUCCUCGGACGUUUUGAAUGUUAAAUUUGUCGUAACCGUUUUUGACCCCAACAAGAAGCAGUUGGAAGAUUUGAUAGAAAAAGGAUUUAUCAGACCGAGUUCUUCACCAUGGUGAGCACCAGUCUUAUUUGUAAAGAAGAAAGACGGUAUCAUGCGGGUAUGCGUCGAUUAUAGAGAGAUUAACAAUGUUACAGUAAAGGACAAGUAUCCCUUGCCAAGGAUCGAUGAAUUGUUGGAUCAGCUUCAUGGGGCAAGCUAGUUCUCAAAGAUAGAUUUGGCAUCGGGAUAUCAUCAAAUCCCAAUAUCAGAGUCUGAUAUCAUGAAGACGGCUUUUAGGACCUGGUAUGGCCACUAUGAAUUUGUGGUAAUGCCUUUUGGUCUUACUAAUGCGCCGGCUGCUUUAAUGCGCUUGAUGAAUGAUAUAUUUCGUGAUUACUUGGAUAAAUUUGUAAUCAUCUUUAUUGAUGAUAUACUUAUUUAUUCCAAGAGUAUAGUGGAACAUGCAGAGCACCUCCAAAAGGUGUUAGAGCGAUUAAGAAGCCAUAAGUUGUUCACCAAGUUUAGUAAAUGUAGUUUCUGGAAAAGGGAGAUUGGAUUCCUUGGUAUCGAGUGUCAGAGAAGGGAGUUGCAGUAGAUCCUGAAAAGGUUAAAGUAGUUAAGGACUGGCCACGCCUACCAGCGCUACCGAGGUUCGAAGCUUUCUAGGAUUGGCUGGGUAUUAUCGAAAGUUUGUGAGGAACUUUUCCAUCAUCGCCAAACCCUGGACAAGGCUGACUGGGAAAGAUAUAUCAUUUGAAUGGGAUAAGAAAGAGGAAAAGACUUUUACACAAUUAAAGGAACCUUUGACGACAGCACCUAUUCUUGCAUUACCUAUUCCAGGAAGACCUUACAUAGUAUACACUGAUGCUUCUCGAGUAGAAUUGGGUUGUGUACUGAUGCAGGAUGAAAAGGUCAUCGCCUAUGGUUCAAGACAGUUAAGGAAGCACGAGGAGAAUUACCCCACCCACGAUCUAGAGAUGGCCGCAGUGGUAUUUGCUUUAAAAAUAUGGAGAUCCUAUCUUUAUGCGAGACGAUUCAAAUCCUUACUGAUCACAAGAGUAUCAAGUAUCUCUUUACUCAGUCAGAUUUGAAUUUGAGACAAUGGAGGUGGAUGGAGUUUAUCACGGAUUAUGACUUACAAAUCCAAUAUCACCCAGGAAAGGCGAAUUUGGUAGCAGAUGCACUGAGUCGGAGGAGAAGUGAUACGGCUAUUGAAAAGACUUAGAAGCCUUAAACGCAGAAUUCAAGAUGAUUAGUCUUUCAUCCAUAGAAGGCGAGGGAAGCGAGCCUUUGGGAUUACGAGUAGUGAAUCAAGCAAACCUCCUGCAAAGAAUUCGAGAAGAGCAGAAGGAAGAUGUGAAGCUAAAGAAGAUAUAAAAGAACUUGAAAAAUCAGGCGGAAGAAAUGAUAGUGGUUAUCAUUUGGCUGAUGACAGAACCCUCCUACUGAACGGAAGGAUAACCGUACCUGUAGGAAAGGAGUUACGAGAAGAGAUCUUGAGAACCGCACACCACUCAAUAUUAAGUAUUCAUCUUGGAAGCACCAAGAUGUACCAGGAUAUACGUCGAUACUAUCACUGGCCAGGAAUCAAACAAUCAAUUGCUAAGUGGGUAGCUCAGUGCCAGACCUGCCAACAAAUUAAAGCUGACCAUCAAGUGUCGGGAGGAUUAUUGCAAAGCCUACCAAUCCCAGAAUGGAAGUGGGAGUCAGUGGCUAUGGAUUUUGUAACAGGACUGCCUCGAGCACCAGGAAGAGGGAAUGAUACUAUAUGGGUGGUGGUAGACCGACUAACUAAGACUGCUCAUUUUCUACCCAUUAGAAUUGUUGACAAGGUAGAAGUACUGGCAGAAGUUUACUUAAAGGAGAUAGUACGAUUACACGGACUUUCUGCCAACAUAGUAUCUGAUCGUGAUCCAAGAUUUAUGGCUCAAUUCUGGAGAGCUUUCCAGCAAGUAUUGGGGACUGAUCUUGUGACAACCUGCCCCGUGGGACUACCCGCCCAUGGGCCCCAGGUUCACAGCGCUGCAGUGCACCGACCCCAACCCCUCUAUUAUGAGUUCUCUCUAACUCCAUAAUUAGGUUGUUGGUGAGCCUCGAACCCAGGACCUCACCCUUUAACAGCAUUCCCACAGGACAAGCUGUCACCAAUUGAUCUGCAGUUCAAUUGGUGACAGCUUUUCCUGUGGGAAUGCUGUUAAAGGGUGAGGUCCUGGGUUCGAGGCUCACCAACAACCUAAUUAUGGAGUUAGAGAGAACUCAUAAUAGAGGGGUUGGGGUCGGUGCGCUGCAGCGCUGUGAACCUGGGGCCCAUGGGCGGGUAGUCCCACGGGGCAGGUUGUCACAAAAAAAGUCGACUUUUUUGCCAAGGAUGUGUGUUUUAGACUGGUCAGGUACAUGGGAACAAUACUUACCUUUGGUAGAGUUCUCUUAUAACAACAGUUACCAUGCAAGUAUUGGAAUGUCCCCAUAUGAGGCAUUAUAUGGACGACCUUGCUGCACACCACUGUGUUGGGCUGAAGUUGGAGAAAGACAUAUGUUAGGACCAGAUGUAGUAGAUGAAACAACAUAAAAGAUAAAGAUCGUCUGGGAGAAUAUGAAGAAAGCUCAAGACAGGCAGAAGAAGUAUGCCGAUCAGAAUAGACGUGAAGUAAUAUUUCAAGUUGGUGAUUGGGCAUAUUUGAAGGUGGCCGAACAGGAAGGGAGAGAUAGAUUCGCAAAAUUGGGAAAGUUAGCCACUCGAGAUAUAGGACCAUACCGAGUGAUGCAACGGGUUGGAGAAAUAGCCUAUCAAUUAGAGUUACCAUCAGAUAUGGCACUUCACCCAGUUUUCCAUGUCUCAAUGUUAAGAAGGCAUAUACGAGAUCCUACCGAAGUAGAGCCGCAACGAGUUGAAAACCUUCGUUCCAACCUCACUUACCCUGAAGGACCACUUCGAAUCGGCGAAAGACGAAUAAAAAAACUGAAGAAUCGAGAGAUUCCUCAAGUGCAAGUAUUUUGGGGAAACCAGCGUCGAGUAAUUGUGACAUGGGAAGAUGAAGAGAGGUUUAGAGCAACUCAUCCUGAACUGUUUUUGGAAGAUGAUGAAGAUCAGAUGGGUGGAGCAUCAAACCACAAUAGAAUUCGGGACGAAUUCUAUUAAGAGGGGGAGAAUGUAAUAACCCUCUUUAAAGAGUAAAACGCAGACAAGGAAAAAUCUUGUAACAGCCGAGAAAAUUACUCAAGUAAGUGAAAGUCGGAUUGAUCUUUUCCCGUGGAUGUUUGUGGAUCCCAAGGUACAAAAGAAAAUUUUAGAAAGUCUUAGAAUAUUUUUCCAUCUGAAGAAAUAAAUUCUUCAAGAAGUUUAGUGGAUUGAAAAUGCUCGCGGUUCGGCCUAGAACGUCCUAGUCGGACGAGAAAAUUAAUUGAAAAUUUAUUAUAAGGCCUUAAGAUAGAAUGACCUUAGAGUUAUUUUAGAAAUGUUAUGGUCUAAGAAAUCUAGGUUUUGUCAAGGAGAAACAUUUCUGCCAGCUCGGAUCAGCUUAUAACACGUUCGGGAUUUAAAUACGGCCCAUUCGGGCCCAUUUACGAUGUGUUAAGCAUAUCCGGAAGCUUCUGGAGGAUGCAGCUGCUUGUCUACCUCCUUAAGCAGCUAGACAUGUGUUACUCCUUUACUGGAGAAUCCUCCAAGCAGCUCUUGCUUAUGUCCUAUUGGUUGAAUUGGUGGUUGGCCACAAAACUUGUUUUAAUUGGACAGAUUUGUGGCUGCACACCAAUCUCUCUCCAAUUGGUUGCAUGGGGCAGCCAGGAAAGCUCCUGCUUGUAACCCACGACCUAUACCUUCUCCUGAGCUCAUUCUCCACCCCUAUAAAUAGCAGACACCCCCCUUAGUCAUUUCUCAUGCUUAGAACCCUAACCAUAGCAGCUCGAAAAAGUCAAAACCCAAAGAUUUCUAAAGCUCUAGAGUUUUUUGAUAAAACUUUAAAGUGAAGCCGACCGCGAGAUAGAAGCGUUUCCAGUCAAAAACUUUCAUCUAAGUGUUGAGGUGAGUCUCGGUUAUGGGUUAUGAUUGUUGUGUGUGCGACUAGCGCCUGCAAAACAAGAGUAUUGGUUGAUGCAUUGCUAGGUUGCGCGUUUAGAUAUAUAAUGAUAUGAUAAUGAUUGAUGUUUGUGAAAGAUAUUGAGUUAUAUCGUCGGGCUUCGGCUCGAGGGGUAUAAUAUGAUUGUGAUACACUGAUGUUGUGUUGCAUAUACUUAUGUCAUUGCAUUAUAUUGUUUGGGCCUCAGCUGAGAUAAUAUAACAUGUUUGAUCAUAUCUUAACGGGGAAACCCGUAAAUUCAUGGACUUGAUCCGUGAGAGUCCGACACUUGGGUGGAGUGUCGUGAGAGUCAUUGGUGUCCACUCGAGACCCGUGCCUUGUCCAGGGCCUUACAAAAAUUAGUUCUGGGCAGGACGCGAAGACACGUGUGAUAGGGCUAGCUACCCUCGACCGUGUAGCUGCAUGACGAUGCGGCAAGUGUAUUAUCCGGGCCAUCGGCUUUUUAGACUUUGUGUUUAGAGUCAAUGGGCGCAAGAAGGGAUGUGUUAUGGACUUUGUAUCGAGAUAGGAACCAAUGGCGAGAGGCAGUCCUCGAUGAUCGAUAAUGAUCUAACCACUCGUGAAGAGUGGAUGCUUGUUUACAUGAUUGCUUUAUUUUUGCAUUGCAUAUUUCUUAAUAUAAUUGAUCCUUGUUGCUUAAUGUUUGAUGCAUAAUGGGGGGAUAAAUAAUUGUUAGGAAACCCGACUCACUGAGCAAAAUAGUUGCUCAUUAGACUCUUUGUUUUUUAGGUAACCCGUAGUAGUAGGUUCCAUUUGGGAUCGGAGGAGCACAAAGCUGUUGGUGUAGAUUUGCUACCUUUUGCAAACAUGUACGUUUUGUAAUAUGUAAGAUAUGGUUUUGAACAUCGGCUCGAGCAUGUAUAAAUUUUGAUGUGGUUGAACUUAAGGUAUAUAUGAAUAUAAAAAAGGGUUUGUGAAAUGCUUGGAUUCCAUAUGAUACUAGUCCUAGUCCGGGACGAACUAACUAACGGUUUCAAACUCGGGUUGCAAAGCCUUAACUUGGAAUCGCUAGGAACGCCGUUCUUGGACAUAUGAUCUUAGGAUUUCAGAUCUGAUAUUGGAACCUCGGAUCAAAUGUUCGGGCACGUGGUAGUAGUAUCUUCGAUCUGGUUAGGGUUCUUUAGUUUGUCGUGAAUGUUCUUGUUUGAUUGGUGCAUGGCAAACUAAUUAACUUUUAUUUAUUCCGGAUCGGGGGCGUUACAGGUGAGCUCACUAUGGCUCAUCAAGCUGAAGGAAUGCAAGCAAACAAGGCUGCAUACAGAGGCUCGGGAAGGAAGUAUGAAAAGUAUGAGGGAAGCUGUGAGCAUUGCAAGAGGACCGGUCACAAAAAGAGUGAGUGUUGGAUCCUACAUCCUCGCCUACAAGAAGAGUGAGUGUUGAAGCAAAGGCUCAUCUUUCUGCUGAAGCAAAUGGUGCUGGUUCAUCCGGAGCUAGCUCAGGCGCCAAGGUGGGUGAAAGUGAAGGUAGAGCCUUGGCAUCUCAUCAACUGAUUGGAAAGGGUAUGGAUCAGUAGGUAUUCAAGAGAGCUGACCUUGAAGCCUUCUUCAAAGCUCUUAAGGAGUAUGGUAACACUCUCGGAAACACCCUUGGACACUCAUAUGCUGCUCAUACAUUGCCUAGUACUACUUAAAAGUUACUAGACAUUUUUAAAAGCUCUUACACUACUGCUAGUAAUCCUAGUAAUACUGAUAAUUUACUAGACAUGAUUAAAAGCGCUUACACUGCUGCUAGUGAGCCGAGUAUAACUAGUAAGAUGUUAGGAUUACUAGGAAACCUGAUAAAACAAAAUGAACCAUCAAGGACUGAGAUUACUAGAAACAUGCAUAAACCUUUGAUCAUUGAUUCUGGUGCAUCUCAUCAAAUGAUUAGUGAUAAUAACCUGAUUAAAGAAUUUUUCAUGCCUGAGUUUACUUCUAAUCUUUUAUCUGUCAAAAGAUGCACCACUGAUCUUCAAUGCAAUGUUAUCUUUAGUCCUGAUGAUGUUAAGUUUCAGAAUAUUAAGAGCAGUAAGUUGAUUGAGCAAGGAGCAACCAAAGGAGACCUUUAUUUGCUUGAAGAUCUUAGUCUCAUCUCUAGUUCUUGCUUCCCAUUUAGUUAUGUUUCUUCCUUAAGUAAAGAUGCAUUGUGGCAUGCUAGACUUGGACAUCCACAUGUUAGGGCUUUAAGCAUUAUGUUACCAGGUGUCACGUUUAAAAAUAAUGAUUGUGAGGCAUGUAUUUUGGGCAAACAUUGUAGAACUGUGUUUCAAAGAUAAUCCACUAUUUAUGAGAAUUGAUUUGAUUUGAUUCACUCUGAUGUUUGGACUGCAACUUGUUUAUCUAGGGAUGAUUAUAAGUAUUAUGUCACAUUCAUUGAUGAAAAAUCCAAAUACACUUGGUUAACACUCAUUAAAACAAAAGAUAGGGUUCUUUUAUGCAUUUAAAAAUUUUCAAAGCUAUGUUACUAACCAUUAUCAUACCAAGAUUAAGAUUUUCAGGUUAGAUAAUGGUGGGGAAUACAUAGGCCACGCAUUCAAAGAUCACCUAGCUCAACAUGAGAUUCUACAUCAGACUAGCUGUCCUUACACUCCACAACAGAAUGGAGUUGCUGAAAGGAAGAACAGACACCUCAUGGAAGUGGCCCGUUCAAUGAUGUUCCACAAGAGUGUCCCUAAGAGAUUUUGGAGUGAUGUUGUGAUGACUGCUUGCUAUCUGAUCAACAGGAUACCAACCAGAAUCCUAGAGGAUCAGUCUCCAUUUGAGGUACUCAACAAGAGUCGACCAGUUCUGGAUCACUUGAGGACAUUUGGGUGUGUGUGCUAUGUACUGGUGCCAUGAGAGAUGAGAAACAAACUUGAAGCAAAGAGCACCAAGGCUAUGCUUAUUGGAUAUUCCACAUCUCAAAAGGGAUACAAGUGCUUUGAUCCCACUGCUAGAAGAGUCUUGGUGUCUAGGGAUGUGAAUUUCAUGGAAGAUAAUGGGUAUUAUGUAGAGAAGAAUUGGGAGGAGCUUGAAGAGCUUUCUCAACCAUCAGAUAGAGCUGCUAGUUUGAGAAACAUACUAGAAGAACUCGGUAUUGGCGUGUCCCAUGAUCAGAGCAGGCGUGAAGAGCUUACUCAAGUGGCCGCUGAAAAACCAUCACACUUUGAAAAUGAGGGGGAAGUUAAUCUGAAGAUGAAGGGUUAAAAGAUCAAGGCACAUAAGAAGCUGGAGGUCUAGAAGAUCAAGGCUCAGAUUCUCCUGUACAAAGUGGAGAUGAAUCAGUAAGAGAAGUUCAGAAUGAAGGUCAGGAAUGAAGCUGAAGAAGAAAUCCAGAUACAAGAAGAAGCUGUUGAGGAACAAGUAGAAGUUCCUUUGAGACGAAGCACACGGGUAAGGAGGGAUGCUUCCGAGUGGGCAAACACGAGAAACUAGGUAAACACGAGAGUGUACUACAAUACCCAGGCUGUGGAGCAUCCUUCCCAAGCUGUGUGCUCAUUUGCUGAGUUUCCGGAAGAGCACUACUUCUUUAUGGUAAGCUUAGAUGACAGCUAUGUGCCAAGAAGUUAUGAAGAAGCAAUGCUGAUUCAAGAGUGGAGGGAUUCAGUCAAUGAUGAAGCUAAUGCCAUGAUUAGAAAUGAUACAUGGUAUGAGAGUGAGUUGCCUAAGGGAAAGAGAGCUGUGUCAUGCAAGUGGAUAUUCACCAUCAAGUAUUUACCUAAUGGGAAGAUUGAUAGGCGUAAGACAAGGCUGGUAGCAAGAGGUUUCACACAAACCUAUGGAGAGGAUUAUAUUGAUACUUUUGCACCUGUUGCAAAGCUCCAUACCAUUAGGAUUGUACUAGCAUAUGCAACCAACCUUGGGUGGGAUCUCUGGCAAAUGGAUGUGAAGAAUGCUUUCCUCCAAGAAGAGCUAUAAGAUGAAGUCUAUAUGCUACCACCUCCGGGUCUUGAAGGAAUGGUGAAGCCAGGAAAUGUUCUUAGACUGAAGAAAGCCAUCUAUGGAUUGAAACAAUCACCUAGAGCGUGGUACAAUAAGCUAAGCACAACACUGAAUGGUAGAGGCUUCAGGAAGUCUAAGCUUGAUCACACCCUCUUUACCCUCAA